rnacentral:lncRNA from 1 species
GCCAUCUCCUUACUCCCAGUCGGGUUUAGAAAUCCAGGUUCUCCAGUCGGCCUCCAAUGACACCCAGGUUGGAAGACAUUCCUCAUUAACACCUGCUGAGGGUGGCAGUCUAGGCUGUCCACAUAGUUUCCACAGACAUUGGUGGGGGAAGGGGGAUCCUCAUUAUUGCUGAGCAGUGGUGAAAGUCUUGACAUCCUCCUAUAUCUCCCCCAAUACCACACUGGUGGGGAGGGACGGGGUGGGGGGUGCCUCCACAUUGCCAGGUGCAGAGAGUCCCCAUGUGAUAUCCAUUGGCAGUGUGGAGGGAAGGAGUUGUUAACCUAACGUCUAGGCUCCCUGUUUGAUCUGCUCCAAAACUACAUGGUAAUCGUGUGACACAUAGUAACACUAGAACAGCUGGAGCAUCUCAUAACAACCUUUCAAGGGUACAGGGUAGGGACUUUUCUGGCAAUGGUGGAGGUGGGGACAUAUCAAUUUAUCUGAUCAAAAUACAAUGGAAAUAGCAAUCAGCAACCAAAACAGCCUUCAAAAAAUAGAAAAGAAAUUCUUUAUAUUUAGACACUAGAAGGCACAGUUCUAAAUGACUCAUUGCUUAAGAGAAAAGCACUCUGCCAAUCAUCAGAUAGUUUGGAGUGAACAACCAUGGAAGAAAGCAAAUCUGUGGGGAGGCAGCCACGGAACUUCAAGACUGACUCUCUCUGGUGCUUAACUGUUCUUUUUAUCGGGAGGUCUCAAUGUCUAGCUUUGGAGAAAAGAGCGGAAAGGUCCUACUUUGGCUUCAAAUUUCAUCCAGCUUCUCCACUCCAACUGAUACCAGAGAGUUCUGAAUCUGGUGGACCGUUGGGUAUUUCACAGCCAUUGAUGAGGCUUUGGUUUUCAUUUGUAUCAUGACCCUCUGUCACCAGAACCCAGAAUGGAGAGGGGGUGAUUCUUGGGCCCACACUCCCGAAUGUUUAUUAGCUGUUAUCACCUGUCUUUACUGCUUCCCUAAGAACAGGGACUUCUGACUUGGCUCCCACUAUACCCCCAGCAUCUAGCAGAGUGGGUGCUCAAGAUGUAUACAUUAACUAAUGAACACGUUUGGCCAGAAAUGCAUCCUUCAAUUUUGUUUUUCUUCCCAAUGGUGACACGUUGACAAACAUUGGAAGCAAAGUGUGGAGCCCACUGGAAAUAAAAGCCGUACCUUGCGUCUGCCA